UACGGAGGGUGCAAGCGUUAAUCGGAAUUACUGGGCGUAAAGCGUACGUAGGUGGUUUGUUAAGCCAGCUGUGAAAUCCCCGGGCUCAACCUGGGCACUGCAGUUGGAACUGGCAAGCUAGAGUAGGGUAGAGGGGUGUGGAAUUCCAGGUGUAGCGGUGAAAUGCGUAGAGAUGUGGAGGAACACCGAUGGCGAAGGCAGCCCCCUGGGUCAAGAUUGACGCUCAUGCACGAAAGCGUGGGGAGCAAACAGG
rnacentral:rRNA from 1 species